UUGUCUACUAGGAAGCACUCAUCUUCCCUUGCAGGUUGAUCAGAGGCAUGGAAUACAUUUAGUUUGACUUUCAUAUUCCCAAAAGAUAUAUCCAUCACCCCAGUUCUAUAGUUAAUACAUGCAUUGGCUGUAGCUAAGAAGGGACGACCAAGAAUCAUAGGGAUAUAUUUUUUAAGGUUCGACACAGGUUCCAUAUCAAGGACGAUGAAAUCAACUGGAAAAUAAAAUUUAUCUACCUUGACUAGGACAUCUUCAAUUGUCCCUCGUGGUAUUUUAACAGAUCGAUCAGCUAAUUGCAGGGGCACCGAAGUAGGCUUUAAUUCACCUAAUCCGAACUUCUCGUAAACUGAAUAAGGAAGGAGGUUAACACUUGCCCCUAAAUCUAAUAGUGCUCGAUCAAUAGAAUUGUCUCCUACCACACAAGAGAUGGUAGGUGCACCAGGAUCCUUGAACUUAGGAGGGGUUUUGUGCUGGAGGAUGGAGCUCACUUGUUCAGUUAGGAAGACCUUUUUAGGCACAUGUGUCCUAAAUUUUCGUUUCUGGGUACAAAGGUCUUUGAGAAAUUUGGCAUACGAUGGAACUUAUUUUAUGGCAUCAAGGAGAGGGAGGUUGAUUUUGACUUGUUUGAA
rnacentral:lncRNA from 1 species